GGCUCGGUAGCUUAGUUGGUGAAGCGCUCAUCUAGCAUGCAAGAGUCCUGGGUUUCAAAUCCCAGCCGAGCAC
rnacentral:tRNA from 1 species